rnacentral:rRNA from 1 species
UACAGGGGGUGCAAGCGUUGUCCGGAAUGAUUGGGCGUAAAGCAUCUGUAGGUGGUUUUUAAAGUCAACUGUUAAAUCCCAGAGCUCAACUUUGGACAAGCAGUUGAGUACUUAAAGACUCGAGUAUGGUAGGGGCAGAGGGAAUUCCUAGUGGAGCGGUGAAAUGCACAGAGAUCAGGAAGAACACCAGUGGCGAAAGCGCUCUGCUGGGCCAUGACUGACACUGAGAGAUGAAAGUUAGGGGAGCGAAAAGG